GGAUCCGUCGUCUAGCCUGGUUUGGAUGCUGCACUCACACUGCAGAGGUCGCGAGUUCAAGUCUCGCCGGAUCCA
rnacentral:tRNA from 5 species